AACCUUAUGGACCUGCGGGCGUAUACCUGCGGAGGGAUCAUUACCGAGUGCGGGUCCGCGUGGCCCAACCUCCCACCCGUGCCUAUUGUACCCUGUUGCUUCGGCGGGCCCGCCAGCCUUCGGGCUGGCCGCCGGGGGGCGUCUCGCCCCCGGGCCCGUGCCCGCCGGAGACCCCAACAUGAACCCUGUUCUGAAAGCUUGGUGUCUGAGUGUGAUUGUUUGCAAUCAGUUAAAACUUUU
rnacentral:misc_RNA from 1 species